rnacentral:rRNA from 1 species
AGCAGCCGCGGUAAUUCCAGCUCCAAUAGCGUAUAUUAAAGUUGUUGCAGUUAAAAAGCUCGUAGUUGAAUUUCGGAGUUUAUCGGUUGGUCGGGCUUCACUGUCCGCACUGGCCUGAUGGAUUCCUACCUUCUGAAUAACCAGCAUGCUAUUAAUUUAGUGCGUUGGGGAAGCAGAGCUAUUACCUUGAAAAAUUAGAGUGCUUAAAGCAGGCUUAUGCUUGAAUAGAUUAGCAUGGAAUAAUAAAAUAGGACGGCUUGGUUCCUAUUUUGUUGGUUUCUAGGAUCACCGUAAUGAUUAAUAGGGAUAGUUGGGGGCAUUAGUAUUCAAUUGUCAGAGGUGAAAUUCUUGGAUUUAUUGAAGACUAACUUCUGCGAAAGCAUUUGCCAAGGAUGUUUUCAUUAAUCAAGAACGAAAGUUAGGGGAUCGAAGACGAUCAGAUACCGUCGUAGUCUUAACCAUAAACUAUGCCGACUAGGGAUCGGACGAUGUUAAUUUUUAAUGACUCGUUCGGCGUCCG